GAUGAACGCUGGCGGCGUGCCUAAUACAUGCAAGUCGAGCGAACAGACGAGGAGCUUGCUCCUCUGACGUUAGCGGCGGACGGGUGAGUAACACGUGGAUAACCUACCUAUAAGACUGGGAUAACUUCGGGAAACCGGAGCUAAUACCGGAUAAUAUAUUGAACCGCAUGGUUCAAUAGUGAAAGACGGUUUUGCUGUCACUUAUAGAUGGAUCCGCGCCGCAUUAGCUAGUUGGUGAGGUAACGGCUUACCAAGGCGACGAUGCGUAGCCGACCUGAGAGGAGGAGCGGCGACACGGGAGGUGAGACACGGUCCAGACUCCGACGGGAGGCAGCAGUGGGGAAGAUUGCACAAUGGGCGCAAGCCUGAUGCAGCCAUGCCGCGGGGAUGAAGAAGGCGUUCGGAUUGUAAAGUACUUUCAGCGGGGAGGAAGGGAGUAAAGUGAAUACCUUUGCGCAUUGACGUUACCCGCAGAAGAAGCACCGGCUAACUCCGUG
rnacentral:rRNA from 1 species